UUAAGCGACUAAGCGUACACGGUGGAUGCCCUGGCAGUCAGAGGCGAUGAAGGACGUGCUAAUCUGCGAAAAGCGCCGGCGAGGUGAUAUGAACCCUUGACCCGGCGAUGUCCGAAUGGGGAAACCCAGUGUGUUCCGACACACUAUCGUUAACUGAAUACAUAGGUUAACGAGGCGAACCGGGGGAACUGAAACAUCUAAGUACCCCGAGGAAAAGAAAUCAACCGAGAUUCCCCCAGUAGCGGCGAGCGAACGGGGAGCAGCCCGGAGUCUGAAUCAGCUUGUGUGUUAGUGGAACGGUCUGGAAAGUCCGACGGUACAGGGUGAUAGUCCCGUACACGAAAACACACUUGCUGUGAACUCGAAGAGUAGGGCGGGACACGUGGUAUCCUGUCUGAAUAUGGGGGGACCAUCCUCCAAGGCUAAAUACUCCUGACUGACCGAUAGUGAACCAGUACCGUGAGGGAAAGGCGAAAAGAACCCCGGCGAGGGGAGUGAAAAAGAACCUGAAACCGUGUACGUACAAGCAGUGGGAGCACCUUCGGGUGUGACUGCGUACCUUUUGUAUAAUGGGUCAGCGACUUAUAUUCUGUAGCAAGGUUAACCGUAUAGGGGAGCCGAAGGGAAACCGAGUCUUAACUGGGCGUUAAGUUGCAGGGUAUAGACCCGAAACCCGGUGAUCUAGCCAUGGGCAGGUUGAAGGUUGGGUAACACUAACUGGAGGACCGAACCGACUAAUGUUGAAAAAUUAGCGGAUGACCUGUGGCUGGGGGUGAAAGGCCAAUCAAACCGGGAGAUAGCUGGUUCUCCCCGAAAGCUAUUUAGGUAGCGCCUCGUGAACUCAUCUUCGGGGGUAGAGCACUGUUUCGGCUAGGGGGCCAUCCCGGCUUACCAACCCGAUGCAAACUACGAAUACCGAAGAAUGUUAUCACGGGAGACACACGGCGGGUGCUAACGUCCGUCGUGAAGAGGGAAACAACCCAGACCGCCAGCUAAGGUCCCAAAGUCAUGGUUAAGUGGGAAACGAUGUGGGAAGGCACAGACAGCCAGGAUGUUGGCUUAGAAGCAGCCAUCAUUUAAAGAAAGCGUAAUAGCUCACUGGUCGAGUCGGCCUGCGCGGAAGAUGUAACGGGGCUAAACCAUGCACCGAAGCUGCGGCAGCGACACUAUGUGUUGUUGGGUAGGGGAGCGUUCUGUAAGCCGUUGAAGGUGUGCUGUGAGGCAUGCUGGAGGUAUCAGAAGUGCGAAUGCUGACAUAAGUAACGAUAAAGCGGGUGAAAAGCCCGCUCGCCGGAAGACCAAGGGUUCCUGUCCAACGUUAAUCGGGGCAGGGUGAGUCGACCCCUAAGGCGAGGCCGAAAGGCGUAGUCGAUGGGAAACAGGUUAAUAUUCCUGUACUUGGUGUUACUGCGAAGGGGGGACGGAGAAGGCUAUGUCAGCCGGGCGACGGUUGUCCCGGUUUAAGCAUGUAGGCGGAGGUUCCAGGUAAAUCCGGUACCUUUUAACGCUGAGGUGUGAUGACGAGGCACUACGGUGCUGAAGUGAUAAAUGCCCUGCUUCCAGGAAAAGCCUCUAAGCAUCAGGUAACACGAAAUCGUACCCCAAACCGACACAGGUGGUCAGGUAGAGAAUACCAAGGCGCUUGAGAGAACUCGGGUGAAGGAACUAGGCAAAAUGGUGCCGUAACUUCGGGAGAAGGCACGCUGAUAUGUAGGUGAAGUCCCUGCGGACGGAGCUGAAAUCAGUCGAAGAUACCAGCUGGCUGCAACUGUUUAUUAAAAACACAGCACUGUGCAAACACGAAAGUGGACGUAUACGGUGUGACGCCUGCCCGGUGCCGGAAGGUUAAUUGAUGGGGUUAGCGGCAACGCGAAGCUCUUGAUCGAAGCCCCGGUAAACGGCGGCCGUAACUAUAACGGUCCUAAGGUAGCGAAAUUCCUUGUCGGGUAAGUUCCGACCUGCACGAAUGGCGUAAUGAUGGCCAGGCUGUCUCCACCCGAGACUCAGUGAAAUUGAACUCGCUGUGAAGAUGCAGUGUACCCGCGGCAAGACGGAAAGACCCCGUGAACCUUUACUAUAGCUUGACACUGAACACUGGUCCUUGAUGUGUAGGAUAGGUGGGAGGCUUUGAAGCGUGGACGCCAGUCUGCGUGGAGCCAUCCUUGAAAUACCACCCUUUAAUGGCUGGUGUUCUAACGUAGACCCGUGAUCCGGGUUGCGGACAGUGUCUGGUGGGUAGUUUGACUGGGGCGGUCUCCUCCCAAAGAGUAACGGAGGAGCACGAAGGUUGGCUAAUCCUGGUCGGACAUCAGGAGGUUAGUGCAAUGGCAUAAGCCAGCUUGACUGCGAGCGUGACGGCGCGAGCAGGUGCGAAAGCAGGUCAUAGUGAUCCGGUGGUUCUGAAUGGAAGGGCCAUCGCUCAACGGAUAAAAGGUACUCCGGGGAUAACAGGCUGAUACCGCCCAAGAGUUCAUAUCGACGGCGGUGUUUGGCACCUCGAUGUCGGCUCAUCACAUCCUGGGGCUGAAGUAGGUCCCAAGGGUAUGGCUGUUCGCCAUUUAAAGUGGUACGCGAGCUGGGUUUAGAACGUCGUGAGACAGUUCGGUCCCUAUCUGCCGUGGGCGCUGGAGAAUUGAGGGGGGCUGCUCCUAGUACGAGAGGACCGGAGUGGACGCAUCACUGGUGUUCGGGUUGUCAUGCCAAUGGCACUGCCCGGUAGCUAAAUGCGGAAGAGAUAAGUGCUGAAAGCAUCUAAGCACGAAACUUGCCCCGAGAUGAGUUCUCCCUGAGACCUUGAGUCUCCUGAAGGAACGUUGAAGACGACGACGUUGAUAGGUCGGGUGUGUAAGCGCAGCGAUGCGUUGAGCUAACCGAUACUAAUGAACCGUGAGGCUUAACCUU
rnacentral:rRNA from 2 species